rnacentral:lncRNA from 1 species
GCCAGGGCUUCUGUUUGGGGGCAAAGUCUGGUUCUCGUCCCCAUUUGCUGGAGCUUCCUGGGCCAAGUUCUACAGCGGCAUGGCGGGGUCAUAUGGAGAUCAGAGGCAGAAGGAGGGACAGACAGGCCUCCCCAAGGCCCCUUAGUCACAGGGACCAGGUCACUACAACCGGCAUCCCCAGGGCAUCGGCGUGUGCAAGUGACCGGCUGGAGCCUGCAAAGUGCAAACGUGCACGAGAGAAACUCCGACUUCAAGGAGGGACGCGAGCGCGGAGGGAGAGGACGGGACCCGAAUGGUUUCGGCGGAGCGCAAGGCGAGCGCAGAGGGAGAGGAUGAGAACCGAAUGGUUCCGGCGCAGUGCAGGGCACGAGGAAGAACGUAAUGCAGGCGUGAGGGAUCAGGAUGGGAGAAGCCAACCCUGAUGUCAGGGAUGCAACCACGGGCCUGAGGCACAGCGCUGUGAAAUGAUGCUCCAGAAUGGGAGACAUUGGAAAGGAGAAUAAGAAGAGCGACCACCCGAUAUAGCAGCUCCAGCCUGAAGUUCCCUUCUUCUAUUUUAAACACUUUUUCCUUCUCUGCGCUCGA